AGUGAACGCUGGCGGUAGGCCUAACACAUGCAAGUCGAACGGCAGCACAGUAAGAGCUUGCUCUUACGGGUGGCGAGUGGCGGACGGGUGAGGAAUACAUCGGAAUCUACUUUUUCGUGGGGGAUAACGUAGGGAAACUUACGCUAAUACCUCAUACGACCUACGGGUGAAAGCAGGGGAUCUUCGGACCUUGCGCGAUUGAAUGAGCCGAUGUCGGAUUAGCUAGUUGGCGGGGUAAAGGCCCACCAAGGCGACGAUCCGUAGCUGGUCUGAGAGGAUGAUCAGCCACACUGGAACUGAGGCACGGUCCAGACUCCUACGGGAGGCAGCAGUGGGGAAUAUUGGACAAUGGGCGCAAGCCUGAUCCAGCCAUACCGCGUGGGUGAAGAAGGCCUUCGGGUUGUAAAGCCCUUUUGUUGGGAAAGAAAAGCAGCAGGUUAAUACCCCGCUGUUCUGACGGUACCCAAAGAAUAAGCACCGGCUAACUUCGUG
rnacentral:rRNA from 1 species